UUUUCUGAUGAUUAGUAUUCUACAGACUUGAAGUCAGUUGAAUCCUUGUCAGGAACGAAAACCGGAAAAGGUGGCAUGUGGAAUGGCGGAGAUAAUAACUGUUGAAUAAUGCUGAUCACAACUCAAAGUCGUCAGACUGCACACUAAUGAGUCUUGAGUAUAGUGUCUCACCAUAUUUAAGCCCUCACUAAAGGGCCUCACAACCCCAUCAUAUUCCAGAACAUCGUCAGCAGUCGUCUGCGUUGACAGCAACUUGCACUUCGUGUAACGAGAGGCCGCUUGCUUCUUCCCUCAUCUUCCAUUUCCAUUUUAUCUUGGAGUUAUAAGAACAAAAAUGAAGGUUCUUCUCCUGUCAGUGCUUCUGAUAGUACUUCUCCACUGCCAUGGAGGCCUUUCAAUGAUGGGUGCACAGGUGGAGGUAACGAGAAUAAACGAUACGCCAACUUGCACUGGCUGGUCAAGAAAAUUAGGAGUGAUCUACUGGAUAAACAAAUGAUUGAGAGAGGAAGGCAAUUCGCCUUUGUCCUGCUAGGCGACAACACUUUGUUGAAUUCUGUCGGAUCUUUCCAGCCUAACCCUAUUCUCAUCGCUGCCGGACAAAAUACGGAUCCAAA